rnacentral:rRNA from 1 species
GUCUUUUUGAUUAUAAUUUAAAGUCUGGCCUGCCCAAUGAAUUAUUUAAUGGCCGCAGUAUUUUAACUGUGCGAAGGUAGCAUAAUAAUUAGUUUUUUAAUUGAGAACUGGUAUGAAUGGUUAGACGAGAAAAUAGCUGUCUCAGUUUAAUUUAGAUUAGAAUUUUAUUUUUAAGUUAAAAAGCUUAAAUUUUUUUAAAAGACGAGAAGACCCUAUAGAGUUUUAUAGUAAAUUAGUAUUUAAUUUGUAAAGUAUAAUUUAAUUUUAUUUUAAUUUAUUAUUUUAUUGGGGUGAUAUAAAAAUUUAAUGAACUUUUUAUUAUUAAAAACAUUGAUUUAUGAGUUUUUGAUCCAUUUUUUAUGAUUAUAAGAUUAAAUUACCUUAGGGAUAACAGCGUAAUUUUUUUUAAGAGUUCUUAUCGAAAAAAAAGUUUGCGACCUCGAUGUUGGAUUAAA